UGACAUGAUGACAUUAUGAGUAAUAUUUUAUAAAAUUAAGGGUAUUUAUGUAUUGUGUUUUGUCGGAAAAUAUGUUUGGAUAGUUUGAUUUUGAAACUGACAUUAUAUUCCGACUGUAUUAUUGGAUAAUACUAUUUUUCGACAAGACACAAUGCAUAAAUGCUCUUAAUUUUAUAAAAUUUAUGAGUAUGCCAUUGUGUCG